GGAUGUGAGGGCGAUCUGGCUGUGACAUCUGUCACCCCAUUGAUCGCCAGGGUUGAUUCAGCUGAUCUGGCUGGCUAGGCAGGUGUCCCCUUCCUCCCUCACCACUCCAUGUGCAUCCCUCCCAAAGCUGCACGCUCUGUCGCUCAGUCGCAGAAGACGACCAUCCCCGAUAGAGGAAGACCAAUCUUCUGUCAAGGGUAUACGAGUAGCUGCAGUCCCCUGCUAGAACCUCCAAAUGAGCUCUCAAAUAUAUUAACUGGUUUUCCUGAAGACACAAUUCUGGAACAAAAUGUAACUCGAGUACAGAAUUUUAUACAAGACUAACAUU
rnacentral:snRNA from 10 species